rnacentral:rRNA from 1 species
UUGACGCACAUUGCGGCCUCGGGCCUUCCCGUGGCUUCGUCUGUGUGAGGGUCGGAUCAUAUAUCAAGAGAGGAGAAUUUUAUUCUACCUCGUUUUGACCGUGUCGGAUCGUGGACAGCACGCAGGUUUAUGCUUUCUUGCGUUGCGUUUUCAUACAUUUUUCCGAGCGAGAAACGGAGAGAGUGAGCAAAUGCACGAGUGGGUGAAGUGUGCGAAUGCACGCGUGUGUUCGAACUACUCGUCUGGAUGACGCUGCCCUAGAAAACUAAAAAGAGAAUCUGGACCGUUUGUGGAUAAUGUUGGGAUCCUUCGCACGAUGGACGGCGCUCGAAAGAGACGUCGGUGCUUUGGAAACCGCAUCGAGACGGUUUUUUUUUCUCGGAUUUUUGCUUUCUUUUGGGCGUGGAAAGUGUCCCGGACUGAGUUUCGAGCGCGACGAAACGCGGCGUCCGCAGAAUUUCUUUUCGUGGCGUUGAUUUGCACGCACUCGGAUGCGUUCUUGCAUGGGAGAAUGGAAACGCUUCUGGGAGGAAAAGCAUUGCGUCGUAGUCUUCCGUCGGUCUAAGACCUUCGCGUCCCCGAUGAAUACUGGAGCCAUCCAGUAGGGGAUUGCCGUUGGAUUGCGCGCUUUCUUUAUAUAGUAAGCGAUGCAUUGGGCGCAUACCCGUUGUCUUCUAUUAUACGCCAUCCUCGCAGGCGAGGAGACGAAAAAAAAGGGAGCGACGGGGAGGGGUAGCCCCUAAAAAAUAAAAAGAUUUGUCGACCUCACAUCAGGCGAGACAACCCGCUGAAUUUAAGCAUAUCACUAAGCGGAGGAAAAGAAACCAACAGGGAUUCCCUUAGUAGCGGCGAGCGAAACGGGACCUAGCCCAGCACCGAAUC